GAACUGGCCCUGAGGCCACGGUGGCCCUGGGCGGUCUUCGAAUUGAGUUUCACUUGGGUUGCCUCCGGAGAGGCCAGAGGGCGCCAUGGGCCGCUACCGCGUCCGUGUGGUCACUGGGGCCUGGCUCUUCUCCGGAUCCCUCAACCGAGUGGAGCUGUGGCUGGUUGGGGCGCAUCGGGAGGUGAAGCUGGAGCUACCGCUGAGGCCCGCGCGGGGCAAGGAGGAAGAGUUUGACUUCGAUGUUCCUGAGGACUUGGGGCCACUGCAGUUUGUGAAGCUGCACAAACAGCACACAGUGGUGGACGACGCCUGGUUCUGCAACCUCAUUACAGUUCAGGGGCCCGGAACAAGUGCAGAGGCGGUGUUUCCCUGCUACCGCUGGGUGCAGGGAGACGGAGAACUGAGCCUGCCAGAGGGGACUGCCCGCCUGGCAGGAGACAAUGCCUUGGAUGUCUUCCAGAAGCAUCGAGAAAAGGAACUGAAGGAAAGACAACAGGCCUACUGCUGGGCCACCUGGAAGGAAGGCUUACCCCAGACCAUAGCCGCAGACUGUAAGGACGACCUACCUCUGAAUAUGAGAUUCCAUGAGGAUAAGAGGCUGGACUUUGAAUGGACGCUGAAGGCAGGGGUUCUGGAAAUGGGUCUCAAACGUGUUUACACCCUCCUGAGAAGCUGGAACCGUCUGGAAGACUUUGAUCAGAUCUUCUGGGGCCAGAAGAGUGCCUUGGCUGAGAAGGUUCACCGGUGCUGGCAGGACGAUGAGCUUUUUGGCUACCAGUUCCUCAAUGGUGCCAACCCCAUGCUGUUGAGACGCUCUACCUCUCUGCCCCCCAGGCUGGUACUGCCCUCUGGGGCAGAGGAGCUCCAAGCGCAGUUGGAAAAAGAACUAAAGAAUGGUUCCCUGUUUGAAGUUGACUUCAUUCUGCUGGAUGGGAUUCCAGCCAAUGUGAUCCGGGGAGAGCAGCAGUACCUGGCUGCCCCUCUUGUCAUGCUGAGGAUGGAUCCUAGUGGGAAGCUGCUGCCCAUGGCGAUCCAGAUUCAGCCUCCCAGUCCCAGCUCCCCAGUUCCAACAUUGUUCCUGCCCUCAGAUCCUCCACUGGCCUGGCUCUUGGCUAAGAUAUGGGUCCGAAGUUCAGAUUUCCAGCUGCAGGAGCUCCAGUUCCACUUGCUGAACACUCAUCUGGUGGCCGAGGUCAUUGCUGUCGCCACCAUGAGGUGCCUCCCGGGACUGCACCCUAUCUUCAAGCUCCUAGUUCCCCACAUCCGUUACACUAUGGAAAUCAACACACGAAGCCGGACCCAGCUCAUCUCAGAUGGGGGAAUAUUUGAUCAGGUAGUGAGCACAGGUGGAGGGGGCCAUGUUCAGUUGCUCACUCGGGCAAUGGCCCAAAUGACUUACUGCUCCCUCUGUCCUCCUGAUGACCUGGCCAACCGAGGCCUGCUGAGAAUCCCAAGUGCUCUCUAUGCUCAGGACGCAAUACAGCUCUGGAAAGUCACUGCCAGGUACGUGGAGGGGAUGGUCCACCUCUUCUACCAGAGUGAUGAGAUUGUGAGGGGAGACCCAGAGCUGCAGGCCUGGUGUUGGGAGAUCACUGAGGUGGGACUGUGCCAUGCCCAGGACAGAGCAUCCUCCAUGCCUCCAAACACCCAGAAGCAUCCUAUACCUCGGUUGUUCUUCUAAAGAGGUCCUAGCCAUCAGCUCAUACUCAGUUAUAUCUAGAACCUGCCAUAGUUGUAUAUUGGACUCAGCUAAAGCAGAACCACAACCUGCUGGGGUUUAUGGAGCUCUGCGAUUAUGGUUCCCUAUUUUUCCACCUGGAGAUACAAAUGGAAAAAGAUUUCCCACCAAAGCCCAUCAUGUCCCACCAUGGCUACUCCUCUCCCUCCUGCCGGCUACUGUCCACGCACAGAGGGUUCUGGCACGCUGUACAUUUGCCAAACUGCGAUGUCAUUCUCGAUGCCAGACAAUACCAUCUGCAAGCUACGGCUCAGAUCUGAAUUCAGGGUCCCGAUUCUUGGGGCUCAGGUUUCUUCAGUUAAUCUGGUCCUCACUCUCCAGCACCCCUCCCACCAGUCAGGGUGCAGCCACUGCUUGCAGUCAGCUUCCAUCCUCCUCCCUAACUCCGGAAAGAACCAGCCUUUCCUGGGCUAAACAGAAGGCUUCCGGCUCUGAGGUUUCGUCCAGCCACCGCCCCUCCACACUUGAGACUACCACCUUGAAUCCCAUCCACUGCGUCUUAAUGGCACAGUGGAACCCACCAUGGCCAGACCCUGCAGUGCAGCAAACACCUGACCCCUGAAGAAAGCCUCUCCUUGAGGAAGCAUGGGGUUUACCACCCCUACUCUUGCAGGACCAAGCUCUCUCUAAUUUCUCAGUCCUGAUCCUUUGGCUUCAGACGUCCAGAAAGACGUCUCCCUUGCCAUCUCCGCAAGCAGUACUACAUCUUGAAAUUCACAGUAAAUAUGCAGCGUCUCAGUCUGCUGGGAUUGAAAUAAUGAAGUGGAACAAAUGGUGUGGCUUAUACAUCAGAAGUUUAUUUCUCACCAUUCUGGAGGCUGAAAGUCUCAGGUCAAAGUGCCAGCAUGUUUGAGUCUGGCGGGUGCUCUUCCAGGUGACACAGGUCACUCUCGUGGCACCAUGUGGCACAGAAAGAACAAACUAGAUCUCUGUCCUGUCUCGCAAGGUCACUGCCGUCACUCACGGGAGCUCUAACCUAUGACCUUAUAAACUUCCAAACCUCAUCACACAGGCAAGCAAUUCCAGGAUAAUAGCUUAGGGGUGGAAACAUCCAUUCCGUACCAUAAAUAUUAGCUUCAUCCUCACAAACAGUGACUCAGCCCCUCCUCUCUCUCCACGCACAGCUCACUUUUGCCACAUGAGCUGCUGCACUUAGAGGAAGUGUGCUAAGGUUAAAACAGUGAGAGGAGAGCCGCCGGGAACUGUAUUCAGAGUCAGUCUUUCUCCCCCCUGACAGCCUCAACCAGCAUUUAACCUCCCUUUGAUGUUCUUAUCAGAAAGCAGAUGUAAUUACAUGGACCAGCUCAAAUCAAAGCUCCCACACACACUGCAAAAUAAUUGGCAUGAGACAAACUCAGAAUUUUAUUUAGUUUUCUUGUUUUUUUUUUUUCAAGACAGGGUUUCUCUGUAUAUCCUAAUUGUCCUGGAACUCGCUCUGUAGACCAGACUGGCCUCGAACUCACAGAGACUCUCCUGCCUUUGCCCCCCGCCCCCCCCCAGUGCUGGGAUUAAAAGCAUGCACCACUACCACCCGGAAGGACUUUGUUUUGAAACAGGGUCUUUUAGCCUAGCUGGGUCUCAGACUUACUUUGUAAUGAAAGCUGGCCUUGAACUCACGUUCUUCCCGCCUCAACCUCUGAAGUGUUAGGUUACAGGCGUGUGCACCAGGCCCAGCUCAGGACUUCUCUUAUUCUCUGUUGUAUAACUAAGAGACUAUAAUUCCUUAUCUAGAAAUAGGAAAGCACAUUAUUAUUGUUGUUGUUAUUAUUGUUAUUUUGGUUUUUUGAGACAGGGUUUCUCUGUGUAGCCCUGGCUGUGAUGAAAUUAGCUCUGUAGCCCACCCAGGCUGGCCUUGAACUCACAGAGAUCCACCCACCUCUGCCUCCUGGGUGCUGGGAUCAAAGGCGUGCGCCACCACCAUCUGGCACAUCAUUAAUUCUUUUUUUUAAUUGAUUUAUUAUAUAUAGUGUUCUGCCUGCAUGUAUCCCUGCGGGCCAGAAGAGGGCACCAAAUCUCAUUACAGAAGGUUGUGAGCCACCACGUAGGUAUUGGGAAUUGAACUCAGGACUGCUGGAAGAGCAGCCCGUGCUUUUAACUGCUGAGCCAUCUCUCCAGCCCCUACGUUAACCGACUAGGGAUGACUGAAUGCCCAGCCCUUAAUCUUCCACAGUAACUGUAUCUAUUAUUUGCUGAGCACUAUCUAAAAACAGAUCAUUUUGAUGCUUUUUUUGUUGUUGUUUGUUUGUUUGUUUGUUUAAAGACAGGAUCUCACUGUGUAGUCCAGACAGUGGUUCGGGAUGGCCAGGACCUCACGAGCCUCCUGCCUCUGAGCUGGGAUUACAUCACGCACCACUGCAUCCACUGUGCAGAUGGAAACUGGAGUGUGGAGAAGUUAGGUGACUGACCGGUCUUCCGACGCUGUCCCUGUGUUGUUAAUGCAGUUCCUAUGUUGUGUGACUCCCGACGACAGAAUUAUUUUGUGGCUACUUCAUAACUGUAAUUUUACUACUGCCAUAAAUCAAAAUGUAAAUAUUUGACAUGCAGGGCAUCUGAUAUGGGACCCCUGUGGGGGUUGAGACCCACAAGUUGAGAACCUCUGAUCUAAAGUAACCAAGAUGGAAGAAAUUAGGCCAGUGCUGAAACCUAUAUCUGAUACAAAUAUAGCUACAUAAAUUACACACACACACACACACACACACACACACACACAGCCGUCCUAAACUAUAGAGCAUCCUGCGUUUCUUUCCUCUUGCUCUGUCACCUUUAAGUCCUGUUCUUUCCCUGGCCAGGUUUCCCUGUCUCCUUCCAGACCCGGGCUCAGCUCUGCCAUUUCCUUACAAUGUGUGUCUUCACAUGCACGUCUCAGCACGCCGCCAUCAACCAGGGCCAGCUGGACUGGUAUGGCUGGGUACCCAAUGCUCCGUGCACCAUGAGGAUG